AUUUCACAUUCUGAAUCUCACAAAUCCGUUUUGAAUCACAUUAGUUUUAAAUGCAAAACCCUGAUUGGAAAACUCACCAUGUAUUCUUCAUGCAUUAUUUUUAUUAAAAGUUAAUAUCUGUGCAUUUUUGUCCCCACAUUUUUAAUUUCUCAUUGAUUUAGAGAUACUCUACACCUGCCUGUCUUUUCUACGCACAAAUGUGUUGUUAAAAAACUAUACAAACAUGUAGUCAUUACUUUUUACAGGUUCUGUUACAGCAGUAGUUAUAGAAUGAAUGUAUAAUGUAUUUAAAGAGCGCUAGCGGGUGUAGUUAGCAGUGAUUACAGUACAGUAGAGGGAGAUACAGUAAGUACAGUGAUCAUAAAAUGACUGUAUACAUGAUUUUAUUUAUACAGCACUAUCAGGUGUGCUCAGUACGUUACAGGUUGUAAAACAAGAGUAAGCUGCAGUACUUAUAUAGUGUAUGUGUGUGUAUUUUAUUCAUAAAAGUGUAUUCAUU